ACAUAUUCAUCAGGAGACGCUAAUCUCUACGAUGACAGAAUGUUGUACACAUCUAGUAAUCGUUGGUUGCAACAAAAAUACAUCAUGGGCAGAGCUGUUGGGUAAAUCAAACACCUAUAUAUUUAUCAAAGUGUUAACAAGUUCUAGAAGUGAAAACAUUUGUAAAACACUCUGAUUAGGAAUUUCUUGCAUCACCAUUUGUGUUGUAUGCUUUGAGUUUCAAGUUCAUCACACUUCAAUAGUAAAAUUACUCUUCUGUUUUAUUAUUUAUUGUAUUUUUAAUUGUAUAUAUCUUCUCUGAACUAAUGUUUUAUGUUUUCUGCAUGGCAGAAAGGAUCCCAUAACGUUCACUUAUGCUUACCUGAGGUUUGUUCUAAAUUUUUCCAAAAAUUGGGCUGCCUAGAAAAAAAAAACUUGAAAUAGGUUUACUUAGUACUAGUUAAAUCGGGCUUGAUUUUAGAUAAAUCUAAUUAUUAUCUUUAAGCAUGAUAUGUUCUAAUACUUUGAUUUAACCUGUUGAUGUAUGUAUUCUGACUAUGGAAUAUCAUGUUCAAAUAUUCUACAAAGAAGCUAAUUAGGAGAUUCUGCAAUUGUUGAUGGUAAUUGGAAUUUAAGAAUAUAGGCUUAAGGGUUUAAUUGGAAUUUAAGCAUGAUAUGUUCUAAUAUUUUAAAUUUAUAUUGAUGAAUACUUUCCACCUAUAUUGACUUAAGUGAGUAGAUAUAUCAGUAGUGUACUUUUUUUUAUUCCACAAACAAUCUUAAAAAGUUGAGAUAUAUUUUUUAGAUGUAUUUUUUAAUAAUUUACUAUAACAUUAUAAGACACCUAAUUUACUAUAACAUUAUAAAACUAUCUUAAAAAGUUGAAUUGAUUUACGUAUCUUUGCCAUGUUCACUAUGGUUUGAACAGAUUAAGUUACUCUUAUUUUCUUGCAGAGCAUGUAGGAGCCAAAUUUGCGGUUCAAAUUCGAAGCCAUGCUUAAAAGUUUUUCUCUAAGGCUCAUUGGUUUGAGUUCAUUACAAGAUUUCCUUGAUUAAGUAAAUGUAUUAUAUCUUUUUAUUACCAAGAUUUACUUGAUUAAGAAAAUGCAUUGUAUAUUUUAUUACCUUGCAUAUGUAUUAUUUAUUUUAGUUUUGAUUCUAAAUUUGUAUUUUUACUUAAGUGGUCUAACUUUUGGAUUUUAAUUGUGUUAUUAAUUUAUUAUUUUAAAUUCUAAAUUUAAAUUCAUUAAUUGUUAUAUUUAUAUUUAGUUUUAAAGUUAAAAUUUUCGUAGAAAAUUUAAUUUAAAUAAUAUUUUUUAUUUAUCCUUAAAACAUAAUAUAAUAUUUAUCAUAGAAAUAAAUAUUAUUUGAAAAAAAUUAUUUUUUAAAAGAUAUAUUUUUAGCGGCGUUUGUGGGAAAAAGCGCCGCUAAAGAUCUUGGUCUUUAGCGGCGUUUGUGGGGAAAUGCCGCUAAAGGUCUUGGUCUUUAGUGGCGUUUGUAGGGAAGCGUCGCUAAAGGUCAUAGUCUUUAGCGGCGUUUGUGGGAAAAGCGCCGCUAAAGUUAGCGACGCUGUCAUUAGCAGUGUUUUUAGCGGCGCUUACUUUUAGUGGCGCUAAAAAACGCCGCUAAAGGCCUAAAAAAGCGCCGCUAAAAGCCUGUUUUGGUGUAGUGUUUGUUCUUUGUUUCUGCAUCUGAGAUUCUUCAAUUCGUUAGUUGCAAAUCUGUUUGUUUUAUGGAUUAAGUCGCUUUCUAUUCGGCUGUAAAGGUGCAAAAGGUGAAAUGGAAGAAGCAAUGGAGAAUUUGAAUUUGAUGGAUGAUGAGGAGGAUGCUUUUCAAGAGGAUGAAAGAGCGGAGGGUUGUGUUAAUCAACUUUGCCUGGUGGGGCGGUGUCUAAUAGACAGUGUUGUUCACUUCCCGUCAUUACGCAACACGUUGGCAGAUCUUUGGCAUCCAAUAGGAGGGAUUUGUAUAACGGAGAUAGGAGAAAAACGGUAUCUUUUCCAUUUUUUUCAUGAGAUCAAUAUUGAAAGGGUUAUUACGGGGACUCCAUGGUUUUUUAAUACUCAUGCACUUAUUUUACAAAAAGUACCUGCUGAAGGGAACCCAACGGUGAUGGAAUUAAAUCACUCGGAGUUUUGGAUCCAAGUUCAUGACUUACCGCCAGGAUUGAUGAGUGUUUUGAUGGCCAAACGGUUUGGUGAUUUCUGUGGCAGGUUUAUUGAGUAUGAUGCGUCCAUCCCGACUUUGGGAAUUCAACAUUAUAUGCGUAUUCGUAUCUGUUUAAAUGUUGAUGCCCCGCUGAAGCAAAAAAAGAAAGUUUUGAUAGGGAAAUCUAUGGUGGUUUAUGCUAGGUUUAAGUAAGAGAAAUUAAGUUUAUUUUGCUUUAUUUGCGAAAAACUAGGGCACGGGGAAAGUUACUGUCCUGUUAGACUGACUGUUGAACCAUCAAAAAUAGUCUUUGGCUAGGAUCUAUCGUUGCGUGCAGUGGUCAGGCGUCGAAAUAUGGCGGUAAGCAGGUGGCUGCGAGCAACAGAUGGAUCUCCGUUUAGUGAGGAAAAUUCGGUAGGUGUCAUGUAUGGUAGUACAAAGGGUUUUGGUAGAAACUUGAAUCCUAAUCUAAUCCCUUUAGGUCCUGAUCCAAUUCAAGGCGGUGGUAGAAUUGUUAAGAAGCGUGAUGGGUGUAUAGAUAAUUUGACUGCAAAUGGGAUCGUUCAGGGGGAAAUGGAGUUGGAUUUAGAAGAGGAAAAUGAGUCAUUAGAGUUGUCUGAGGGGAAAAAGCGUCAGCGAAUAGUGGAGAGAUCACGCGUUCUGUGGGAAUCUAAUGAGGGAUCUGGAUCUAUGAAUGUUUCGGCUAGCUCUGAAAAUCAAAGUAGCUGGGCUCGAUGAAAAUCCUAAGUUGGAACGUUCGUGGUUUGGGGAGACCACGAACGGUUAUAAGGCUCAAAAACAAGUUAAGAGCAAUUAAUCCCCGAAUUUUGUUUUUCAUAGAGACAAAAUUAUGUUCAAAGAAAAUGAAGUUGGUAAGAUUGAAGUGUGGUUUUGAGAAUGGCAUCGAUAUUGGUCCAGUUGAUACAAAAGGGGGUCUGUCGUUGGGUUGGAAAGGAAAUAUGUUGUCAAGCUUAAAAGUUUCUCUUCCUAUCACAUUGAUGUUGAAGUUCAUGAUAAUGAGUGUGGAAAUAUUUGGAGAUUCACUGGUUUCUAUGGACACCCAGAUGAAAGACGCAGAGGUGACUCGUGGAAUUUGCUACGCCAGUUGCAUCAAGAUCAAGAUCUGCCUUGGUUGGUGAUGGGGGAUUUCAACGAAAUUAUGGAUUCUUUUGAGAAGAAGGGUGGUCGACUCAGACCAUUUGGGCAGAUGAGGGAUUUUCGUGGGGUUCUUGAAGACUGUUGCCUUAAUGAUUUAGGUUUUGUUGGCAGAUGGUUCACAUGGGAACGAGGGCGAUUUGCAUCGACUAAUAUAAGGGAAUGUCUGGAUCGUGGUGUUGCUUCACUGAACUAGAUGAAUACGUUUCCUGGGUAUCGACUGGAACAUUUGAGCUACUCAUUUUCUGACCAUUGCCCUCUUCUUCUGGAUACUCAAGGGGGAGUAGGGAACCAUCAGAACAAGUAUGAAAAGUCUUUUCGAUUUGAGGCCAAGUGGUGUUUAGAGGGCUUGUUUGAAGGUAUGAUUAGGAAAUGGUGGGAAGAGGAAUCUGGAGGUGUACUGAGUAAGUUGGAGAAAAUGGGUUAUCAAUUACUAAAGUGGGGCAAGGAGAAUAGUGUUGAGGAACGAAGGAAUCGGCUCUGUUUAGAAGAUAGACUAAUGAAUCUUUACAAUCAAGAUCCGUCAAAUGAAGUUCUAGCUGAGAUUAUGGAGGUCCAAUUGGGGCUUAAUUUGGAAGCUGACAAAGAGGAAUUAUUUUGGGAGCAGCGUGCGCGGGUGAAUUGGCUAAAGAAUGGGGAUCGUAAUACCAGCUUUUUUCACAAGGUAGCUGUGCAACGUCACUGUCGUUGUAGAGUUUCUGAACUGGAAGAUGGAGUUGGAAGAAGUACUAAUUCCAUUGAGGAGUUCCUCCAAAUAGCUACUGACUAUUUUGGUAAGCUUUUUACUGCUUCAGAGUCAGGCUCGGAUGAGCAUUUGUUUAGUUUAGUUGAGGAAAAAGUUACUUGUAGUGUGAACGAAAGACUCUUAAGACAAUUCACGGAGGAAGACAUUGCCUGUGCAGUUAAAUCCUUGGCGCCUUUGAAAGCCCCUGGGUUAGAUGGGUUUCCGACCCUCUUCUUUCAGCAUUAUUGGCAUAUUGUUGGGCCUGAGGUUACACAUUUUUGUUUAUCCGUUUUACAUGGACAAGAGGAUUUAAGUGCUAUUAAUAAAACGCGCCUUAUCCUGAUUCCAAAGGUUGGAAAAUCGAGUAAUAUGACUCAUUUUAGGCCUAUCAGCCUUUAUAAUGUCAUUUACAAAAUUAUAGCAAAGGUAUUGGUAUAGAGGAUGAGCGAGAUACUGAGGACUUGUAUUAAUGAAGCUCAAGGGGCCUUUAUUCCAGGUAGGCUUAUCUCUGAUAAUGUGCUGAUUGCUUAUAAGAUACUUCAUUCCUUAAAAAUGAAGAAGAGAGGUAAGAAAGGUAAUUUUACACUUAAGCUAGAUAUGAGUAAAGCGUAUGAUCAUGUGGAAUAGGAUUUUUUUGGCAGGUAUGAUGAGGCACCUGGGUUUUCAUGAGGAUUAGAUUGUUCUUAUCAUGUGUUGUGUAUGCUCUGUCACGUACUCUGUCAGUCUCAAUGGAGCUAGCGGAGAUUGGUUCACACCAUCGAGAGGACUCAGACAAGGAGACCCUCUCAGUCCUUAUUUAUUCUUGAUUUAUGCUGAAGGGUUUUCGCUGCUCAUUCAGGAAGCUAAAACUUAAGGGAUGAUGAUGGGGGCACCUAUAGGUUGAGAGAAGUUUUCGAUCAACCAUUUAUUUUUUGCAGAUGAUUGUGUUCUUUUUGGUGAUGCCUCUCGUGAAGGAGCAGAAGUAGUUCGGGCCAUUAUUCAUGAAUAUGAAAUGGUCUCGGGGCAAAGAGUGAAUUUUGAAAAAUCCCUCAUUUAUUUCGGUGCAAAUGUCGACUCUAUUGUUCAGGAGGAUAUCGUUAAUCUAUUUGGGGUACGUCUCACCUCAAAUCUUGAAAAGUCUCUUGGUUUGCCUUUGAUGGUGGGUGGAAGGAAAAAGUGGGCUUUUGCUCAUAUUGUGGACCAAUUCAGAAAACGGGUGGAGGGGUGGAGUAUGCGUUAUCUGUCUAUGGGGGUAAAGAGGUUUUCAUCAAAUCAGUUUUAUAGGCUACUUCAAUUUAUGCUAUGCAGUGUUUUUUAUUGCCAAAAUCAUUAUGUAAAACAUUGGAAGGAGUAAUGAAUCGAUUCUGGUGGACGAAUAACAAAACAUCGAAGGGGAUUCAUUGGAGUUCGUGGGAUGUUCUGUGUAAACCGAAGUGCUUUGGCAGAAUGGGGUUUAAAAAUUUAUUCUUGUUUAAUAAGGCUCUUUUAGCGAAACAGGUGUGGCGUAUUUUAACUCAGGCCUAUUGUUUAUUAGCCAAGGUUUUAAAAGCCCGUUAUUUCCCUCUUUCUACUAUACUAACAGCAAAGGUUGGUUCUUACCCUUCAUUUACCUGGAGGAGUAUUUGUAGUGCGCGGGACCUGAUCAGUGAUGGAAUCUUGUGGCGUGUGGGUAAUGGUACAAGCAUCAACAUUUGGAAUGAUCCCUGGCUGCCUGGAAGGGAGAACAACAAAAUCCCAGUUAAUGAAAUUAAGCCUCCUUGGUCAACGGUGAAUCAGUUAAUGAAUGAAGUAGAUAGUACCUAGAAUAGAGAGUUGAUUCACAAUCUAGUGGAUGAUGUCACUGCUAAUCGAAUCUUUGCCAUUCCCAUCUCUGAAAGCCGACCAGAGGAUAUGAUGGUAUGGAAGUAUGAAGGCUCAAGUGAGUAUACUGUUAGGAGUGGGUAUCGAGUUCUCAUUACAGAUUAUUUACACAGCAAUAUACACAUGUCUUCUACAAAUGAAGAAUAUAAAAAUUUUUACAUGGAUCUAUAAGCUUUGCAUAUUCCAGAGAAAAUAAAAAUACAUGUCUGGAGAUUGUUCAAUAACAUGGUGCCUCACUAUGAGAACUUGGCACGCCGAACGCUGUGUGAGGAGGCUGUGUGCCCACUGUGCAAGGAAGAUUUGGAAACUACAGAGCAUUUGUUGGGGUCUUGUAGGGUCCUUCGAACUAUAUGGACAUCGUUGCAGGUUCAAAUCCCCCCUUUGGACGCUUCCCUGGAUUAUAAGGCUAAUUUUGUUAAAACAUAUCUUGAAGCAGAAGGUCGACAAAAAAAGUUUAUUGCUUUAUCUCUUUGGUGUUUAUGGUUUCACAGAAAUAAGUUGAUUCAUGAGGGGGCUAAGUUCUCUGUGCCACACCUAUUGGGGUUUAUUAGGGGCUAUGAGCGAGAUCUAUGGCUUAUUCGUGAGAAUCUAUGUGUUUCUACUGCUUUUAUGAGAAAUGAAAUCUGGAGGCCUCCUGAAUAUAGUUUUAUUAAAAUUAAUUUUGAUGCGUCAUUUAUUCCAGGAAAUAAUUUUGCGAUAAUUGCAAUCUUAGCCAGAAAUCACAAAGGGGAAGUUAUAGAAGCAGUCACUUAUCUGGUGGAAGAUGUGGACGACGCUUUCGUGGCGGAAGCACGUGCUUGUGAAAGAGAGCUGAUCCUCGCAAAAUUGAAGGGGACUCUCUAACAGUUAUUAAAAAACUGACCAAAAAUGAGGAAGAUAGAUCGAUUAUUAGGCUGAUUGUUCAUAAUAUUCAUAGAUUGCGCUAGGGCUUUGAUGAAGUCUCUUACUAGUUUGUGAACCGUCCGCUUAAUGCUGCAGCCCAUAUUUUGGCAGUGGAAGGUCGGCAUCGGAAAGUGUGUGGGGCCUAGGUUGAUGAAAUACCGGAGACUGUGCGUUUGGUGGUGGAGGAAUAUUGGUUACGAUGGUGCCAACGGAUCUAAGGACCAUAUGUUCGCUUUGAGUCAGAGAAGGUUCAUUGAAUCUCUAAUUUUGUCUGCAAAGCGUUGCUGGCUUUCGAACUCUGAUUGAUAAUACCGAAGGAAAUGAAGCCUGUUGUGGCUGAUAAUAGAGAUUGAAAAGUUUUGUUGUAGGCUCACGCGUCUUCUGCUUAUUAAUGUUUCGUUACUUUUUAGGCGUAGUUUUAAAUUUUCUUUUAUGUUGGACAGCUGUGAUUUUCUUUGCUGUAUUUUUGUCUGUUUUUGUGACCUUUUAGGUACUCUUUUGAGCCUGUUAAUACUAAUAUCAGUCAUUUUAUCAAAAAAAAGUUUUGUGUUAUACAAGGAUGGAUUUAGGGGUGAUUAAUUUGAUAUAAUUAUUUUUGUUAUGAAUUCUCAGUUACAUGAAAUGAAUUCGCACUUCAGUGAUAAUGUAGUAGAGCUGCUAGCACUUAGCUCUGCUUCGGACUCGUAAUAUGAAUUUAAAAUUUUUCAGGUUGAAGGUAUUUGCAAGCUAGUGAAUAACAUUUAUCUAAAUGAUUUUACAAAGCUAGAAAUGCAACAUAUGAAGAUUCAAUUGAAGUACUUUGAAGUUGAUGCUCAUAAGAGCUUAGAGUUGAAGAAAGUGUUAAUGAUCGUAAAGUUGUAUCAAGUGUUAGCAAGGAUAAAGAAAUUAGAGAUUUAUCUUCUUGUUGCUAGAAUUAUUCAUCUUGUGCUAACUCUUCUAGUGCCUAUUGUAAUAAUAGAACAAGUAUUUUCAACCAUGAAAAUCGUGAAGACAAGGCUCUUAAAUAAAAUGGAGGAUGAUUUUCUUUCUUACUUGGUGGCAUAAAUGAAGAAAGAUAUAGCUUGACAAUUUUCAACAGAUUCCCCCAUUGAUGAUUUUGACUUAAUGGAAAAUCAAAAAGUACAAUUUAAGAUCAAUUUUAAGAGAUAGUGUUUUAGUUACUUCAAUUUAUGUUUUCUUUGUAAGUAGAUUAUAUUAACAUUUGAAUCAAAUCCUAGAUCCACCCCUAUUGGUUUUUUUUAAUAAAAUAUCCAUCCCUAUUGUCAUAUAUACACACACAUAUAUAUAUAUAGAAUAAGAAAGAAACAAAAGAAAAGGAAAGGAAAGGAAAGGAAAAAAAAGUUUAAAAAAUAGUCAAAACUAAAUUUGACAUUAAUAGGAGUCGAAGUCCAUUUAAAUUAAUAAAACAAAACUUGAAACCUUAAAACCCCAGGUACUAAGGUCUUAAUUUAAACUUGUCAAUUGACAUUCUCUUUUUUUUUUUUUUUAUUGAGGGAAUUUAAUAAUUAAAAACCUAUAUUGAACUUGACGCCCAUGAAUAUUGAGUUACUUCAAAAAGUAAAGGAUUUGUUUUUUCAUAAACUUAAUUUGGGAAAUAAUAAAAAAUUUCCCUAUAUUCAAGUAAAAAAAAAAAGCUUGAAUAACUAUUAUCAAAUUAAGAAAAUUACAAACCAUAAUGGGCUAAUAAUUGAUAUGUUUUUUAACUUAAAAUGGAAUAGAUCUAGAUAGAGAUCACAUAUAUUGAGAUUUAAAUCAAAAUAAAUUUAAAAAAAAGUUCACACAUAAUUUACAUAAGAUAAGACUCGAAAUUAGACCAUCAAAUUUUUACAACGUCAACCUUACCAACAUAGUCAGACCAGACCUUAUUGGCAAAAUGAUAAUACUAUUAGUGGGUUAUAAAAAAAAAACUAGUUCAACAUUGUUAAACAGUUAUUUAUUAAUUUGGAAAUAAUAAUUACAUUAUAAAUGUGAUGAUGAAAUUAAGUUAAGUUGAAGUAAAUAAAUUAAAUAUAACUUUAUAAGUAAAUUAAGAGAAAAGGUUUUAUUCCAAUGAGUGUAUAUAAUCAUCAUUUCGCCAAGUUAUAUAUUUAUAUGCAAAUUAAUUAAUUACUCAGGUUAACAAAAAUUUAUUUCCUCUUAAGAAGUGACAAUCCAUAGUUUUUUUUUUUUUACUUUUAAAUAUUUUUUUAAGUAAAUGUUGAUGUGACAUGCCAUAUUAGCAUAUUUAUCUUCGUGGCAUGUCACAUGUAAGUUUCACAAUACUUUUGUUAGUCAUUUUAAUGUUAGUUAAUGAUUAAUGACUAAUUUUCAUUAACUAAAAAGUUUAAUUAAUUUUUUGUCACUUAGAACUCAAUUACAUACACUUGUUCCCUAAAAAUUCAAUUAAUUUCUUUUAUCUUUUACUAAGAGCUUUUUAAACCACUCUACAUAUUAUUUUAUUAUUGUAAUCAUCCAUUAUUAUUUUCUAGUUUUUAAGCUUUCGAGCCAUAAGUAAUUAUAAAUCAUACUCAUUUGAUUAACAAAAAUUUCAACUUCAUUUUUUUUCCAUCUUCCCUAAAAUAAUAAAAUAGCAAAAGGAUUUUAUUGCAAUAUCUAGUAAUAUAUUUUAACUUGAAUUGUGUAAAAUAUCAAAAAUGUUAAUUGAGCAUNNNNNNNNNNNNNNNNNNNNNNNNNNNNNNNNNNNNNNNNNNNNNNNNNNNNNNNNNNNNNNNNNNNNNNNNNNNNNNNNNNNNNNNNNNNNNNNNNNNNNNNNNNNNNNNNNNNNNNNNNNNNNNNNNNNNNNNNNNNNNNNNNNNNNNNNNNNNNNNNNNNNNNNNNNNNNNNNNNNNNNNNNNNNNNNNNNNNNNNNNNNNNNNNNNNNNNNNNNNNNNNNNNNNNNNNNNNNNNNNNNNNNNNNNNNNNNNNNNNNNNNNNNNNNNNNNNNNNNNNNNNNNNNNNNNNNNNNNNNNNNNNNNNNNNNNNNNNNNNNNNNNNNNNNNNNNNNNNNNNNNNNNNNNNNNNNNNNNNNNNNNNNNNNNNNNNNNNNNNNNNNNNNNNNNNNNNNNNNNNNNNNNNNNNNNNNNNNNNNNNNNNNNNNNNNNNNNNNNNNNNNNNNNNNNNNNNNNNNNNNNNNNNNNNNNNNNNNNNNNNNNNNNNNNNNNNNNNNNNNAAAUAGGUAGAAAAGUCAACAAUAUAUAAGAGGAUGUGAUCUUCACGAAAAUGGAUGCAGGAAGAAGGAGCGAUGAUGAUAAGCAUAAGGAAAGGGGUGAUAAAACGGUUAACCGUAUUAAAUGAAUUUUUUAAUCUUUUAACUGUUAAUCAAGUAAAAACUUUUUCAAAAAAAAUUAACCAAGCUGAAAUAUUUCAGUUAACCGAUUGAAUUAACCAAAACUUAUAUGUAUUGUUUUUUCUGUUUGUUAAAACAAGUAUAAAACAUAUGAAAGAAAAUAAAUUUAAAAUGUUCAUUUGGCCAAACUUAAUCAAAUUAACCGAACUAGUAAUAGCCUAAUACAUAUAACCUAUAAUAUUAUUUAUUAAAUUCGGUUAAUUACUUGAUUUCGAACCGAAUUAACAGUUAACCGAAAUUUCAAAACAUCUUUAACCGAUCUUCGACCGAACUAGAUCGGUUAAUAGACUGAUUAGCCGAAUUAGAUCGGUUCAGUCGGUUAAUUAGAUUUUAACCGAAGUUUGAAUACCCCUACUUAUAUUCGGAGAGUUUUUAUCUCUUUGAGUGUACAAUAUUCAUUUCACCGCUAUUUAAUAUUUCAUAUUUGCCAAUUGAGUCUUAGCUUGGUUGGCAUUGAUAUUAUUGCCAAUGUAGGAGGACAUGGGUUUGAGUGCACUAAAACGCGUUAUCCUCCUUUUUAAGAAUUACAGAGGUACUAUAAAUAAUUCUAGGCAUUAUAUCAAAAAAUAAAUAUUUGAUGUUUAAAGAAGCAACUCAAAAUAAUCGAAAUUUCUUUUAUCGAAUUUGAAAUAUGCCCAAAUCUUUUAAGAAAUGAAUAAUAAAUAAUAUGGUAACAAACGAUAAAACCAUAAACCUUCUAGAAAAUAAAAGCCAUUGAUAUCUUAGUAAAACAUUGGUAUAAUGAUUUCUAUUAGUGAUGCUAAGUUUUUCUAUAUAUUUAAAUUAGCUUUCGUAAAUUAGAAUUGCUAAUUUUAUUUAGGGUAAAUUACACCCAAUGCCACUAACUAUUAGUAAAUUUAUAUUUUAGUUACUCAACUUCAAAAAGAUAUAAAAUAGUAACUAGAUUAUUCAAAAGUUUUCAUUUGAGUCAUUGAAUUAUUAAAAAUUUUUCAUUUAAUUCAUUGAACUAUUUGAAAGUGUCAAGUCCAUUUACUGAAUUGAACAAAACAAGUUUAACUACCAAAUUAGAAAGAAAUAUCAAGUUCAUAUACCAAACUUUAUAUUAAGGCUAUCUCAAAUUUAAAAAUUAAUUUAUUCCAAAAAUUAAAUUUAAGAUAUCCUUAAAAUACACACUAUUAAAUAAUUUCAUAAGAUUAAAUCAUCAUUAUUAAAAUAACCUCUUUAUAUAUUGAGUGUGAAAUUUCCAUUCAACUACUAUUUAAUAUUACAUUUUUAAAGAAGCAAUAAUUUUGUAAUAUCCCAUACUUGACCCGAUCGCCAAAUCCAAGCUAUAGGAUAUCACAUUCGUUACCGGAGCAACUACAACUUUCUUUUAAUCAAAUAAACAAGUUAUGUAGUUCAUUAGGAUAAAUACUUAAUUAAAAUAUGAUAUUUAGUCAAAUUUGAGAUUUAAACGAGCUUACGAAAGCUCAUUCGAUAACCUAAAUUUGGUUGAGGACUAAAAUGUAACAUUUUAAAAAUUAUAGGGUUGGCGUCGCAACAUCGAGGUUAUCACAUCACGACUUUGACAAACAAUGAAUGUCAUCAAAACAUCGAAGAUCUGCGAUUGCGACGCCACUCACUGGUGAUUCACGUCGCGAUGUUGAAGGUUUGUCGUCGUGACAUCACCUACUGAUUCCACAAUAUCAUUGAACAUAAGAUCGCAACAACUCAAUAUAUGAACAUUAGCAUACUUACAUUCAUAAUUCUUAUGCUAUUUACAUAUAUACCUUAAAAUAACUCAUGUGUCAUAGAUCAAACUAACAUUUAGUACCCAAAAUAUCAAAUCGACAAUUUACAACUUAAAACCGACUCAAUUUUAGGUACAUGCCGCAUAUCGAAAAUGUGAAGAAUUGCACAAGCAAUGCUGAGUGGAGAACUACGAUAUGGAUUCUGCUUCACUUCUCGAGACUUUAAGAUCUACUAAUACUUGUGCAUAGAAAUAAACAAACCAUACGUUGAAAGAUAAAGCUCAAUGGUACUUUCAUGAUUCAAGUCAAUAAUACCAUAAAAAAUAGCAAUAGAAAUAACAUAUUAGAAUUAGAAUCAAAUCCUGAACUAGUUUACAACAUUAUCAAUUUUCAAUUCAUGUCACAUAUAUCCAAAAUGCAUACCUUUUAUCAUGUGAUAAACUAAUAUUAGUAUAACAUACCAAGUUUUCUAUCAUUGCAUCAAUUCAUUUAUAAUCCAAUGCAUAUCACUAAUUCAUUUCAUUUUCAUAUUUCUUUCUCGAUUUUGUUGAUUCGUUUCAUUUCCAUGUCGACCCACAGGACACAUAUAAACCAGUUCACAUGAUCUUUCACAUGCUGUCAUAUAUGAAAUUUCAUAAAUAUACAUAAUGUAUCAUUUCCAUCAUCAUUUCAUAUCGCACAUGAUUUAGCAAAUUCAAGUUUUAUAACCCUUAUUAACUUGACACGGGCGUAAGAAGAAUACAUGAAUCUAUUUUACUUUGUCUUCACGGGUUGCUUGAAAACAAUGACUUUUAGAACUAGUACAUUCUACCAUCUUGGGUUGCCUAACAACGAUGACUUUCAUUAUCUAUCAAUAGUAUUCAUUCUACCACCCCAAAUUGUUCGACAACGAUGGCUUCUAAUCUUUAUACCAGUGACCCUAUGGCAUGCCAAUUCUCGACAUUCAAUAUCAUCAUGUAUAAAUCGAGUCAGGAAACAGUAAUACACCUACCUCAAUAUGUAGUUUUGCAAAAUUUAUAUAUGUAUAUAUGCAUAUGUAUAUGUAUUUAUGUAUUGAACUCAAAUUAUAAAAGUACAAACCGAAUUCUUUUGUCACUUGUCUACAACUUUCGCUUUUCCUUUCUCUCGAAACAAUCCAACAUUGUCUUAAGCUACAUUCGAUGAUUCAAUCGUAAAAAAAAACAAUAUUAGAUCACAUUCAAAUGACAUUCAAACACAUUAUCAACAUAUUCUUCAUUUUAUUCAUUUUAGUCUCUAUACCUGAGAUACACAUAUUUUUCCAUAUUUAACAUCAAAUUAAAAUCCAAUUUUACAUUCUUUCACUAGGGACCUUAUACUUUUCAUCUCUUGCAUAAUUUCAUGAUAGUUUUCAAUUUAUUUAAUUUAGUCCCUAAUGUCACAAAGUUAUCUAAUAAGUUUAUCUUAUAUUCUAACUUAGUCCUUAUCAUAUUCUAAGCUUAUUAUCUACCAAUUUCUUCAAAUUAAGCUCAAAAUUUUCAAUUUCAUUUUAAUAGCAACUUGUUAAAUAGUUAACGGUUUUAAAAAAAUAUACAUGGACUAACUAAAUUAAACUUUCAUGGUAAAAAAAUCUAUAUAAAUUCAAGGAAAAAGGCUUAGUUAAUAGUAUUACCUUAAGAAAAUCAAUGGCUUUUCCUUUCAAAGCUUGGACAGCAUGAAUGAACAAAGAAAGAUGACGUUUUUUUCCUUUACAUUCCACUUAGUUUCAUAUAUAUAUAUAUAGUAUAAUUAAUAACUUAAUUAGUUUAAUUAUGUUUAAUUCAUUUAUUAAAGCAUAUUUAUACUUACUUUAAUUAUAAAUCAUGUUAACGGGAAAUCAUCAUCUUCCACUAUCAAUAUAAAAGAUAAUGGUUUGAUAACCAAUUAGGUCCUUUAGAUAAUUGUUAACUAGGUCAUUAAGCAUUUCCUAAAUUAAAAUUUAAUAGCGAUCAAAUUUUACAAUUUAGUCUUUGAUCUUUAAUUAAUUUUUUUCUCAGUUAAAUUACUUAGCCGAUCUUUAGUAUAUUUUCAUAUCAACUUUGAUAAUCUAUUUAUUUUAUCCUUACUAACUCAGUUUACGAAAAUGAGGUUUCAAAAUCGCAUUUUCUGACACCGAAAAAUGUUGGGUUGUUACAAAUUUAGUACACCAUUGUUUUUGAGUAAUCUUAUUGAUAUGCAUAUGGCAGAAUUUGAACUCAUACUAAUUGAAUUAGUAAAACAUUAAAUUUAUCACCCAACCAAAGUUUUAUUUUGGUAAUUUUUAUACAUUUUAAUUUUAAUAUGCACAAUUUAUUACUUCUAUUAGUUGUAUAUAUUAAUAAUGUCAUUGAUCGAGUUGGUACAAUAAGUCAACUCGACACCAACUUAAGGUUGAUAGCAACACCAUGGUAAACAAUUAUAUUCAUUUAAUAUACUUAAUUUGAUGUAUUCAUGUGUUUAAAUUUUAUUUUACUCACUAUUUAAUAAUAAAUAUAGAAUAAAUUUUUUAUUUGAGCUGUACAAAUUAUCAAAUUAUUUUUUUAUUUGGUAUUUUAAUAAAAAAUAAAAAAUAAAAUAACUUGAAUAAUUAUUUAAAAUAUUUACAAAAAUUUUAAAAACUGAAAAUCCCGCAAUACAUGGGAUAAAUUAUUGUGGUGUAAAUGAAUGUAAUUUAAGACCAUUAAAAAAACAAUAAAUGUGGAAUUUAUCCUUUUUUCUCGAUAGCUACUAUAAUCUUAAGCUUAUAUAAAUGUAUCUUAAUGAUUCACUUUCAUUGAAUAACAAAAAUUCUCAAUCUCUCUCUUUCGCACAUUUACACUUUUAAUAAAAUUUAAAAUGAAAGGAUCAUCCCGUCCAAUUUCAACUUUGGUUCUUCUUAUGUUAAUUCUCCUGGCAACAGGUUUUCUCUUUUAAUAAAAUUUUAAUUUCUUAUCAUUUAAAUUUAUUAUUUGAUUCACUACAAAUUCAAUCUUUUUCUUACAAAAUAUUUGUAUUUAACAUGCUCAGACCGACAUAAAUCUAAGCAUGUCAAGUCUUAAAUUAUAUAUAUACACAAAUUUAAUAUUCAUUCUUUGACAAAAUAAUAGAAGGUGAUAGUAUGAAGUUACAUGAUGGAUGCCUAUGGUCCCAUUUCUCUUUGAGUAGUUUUGUUAUUAGUUUUUUUAUUUAAUAUAUGUGUAUAUAUUAAAAUUAAUUGCCUCGUUUAGUACAAAAUUAGCCACCCGUAUUAUUUUUUGUUUCUUUGACAUUCACUAAUAUAAUAUGUAUAUAUCUUUAUGAAAUGAAACAGAGAUAGGAACUAUGGCAGAGGAGGAACAUAAAGAAAUAGAGAUAGGAACUAUGGCAGAGGAGGAACAUAAAAUAUGUGAGAGCAAAAGUGGUAAAUUCAAGGGGAUGUGCUUCCUUGAUGCUAAUUGUGAUAGUAUUUGCAAGGCAGAGCCGGGUUCCACUGGUGGGCAUUGCCAUGGCAUCUUUCGCAUUUGUUACUGCACUAAACCUUGUUAGAUGAGCAAUCUAUUAAGAUUUUAUUGUAUUUAAAAGAUUGCCCCAUUUCCUUUUGUUAUGUGCGCACUUGAGAGAUGAUAGAAUAAGAUAUCAACAUUAUAUUAAUGUAUGUUGAAUUCUGUUACAAUUAAAUACAUUUAUAAUUUUUAUGUUGCAUAUGAAUUAACUUUUAAAUUAAUUCUCUUAAUUUCAUUCUUUCGAUUUCUUCUUGGACAAAUUUGAUGAAAUUUGUACAAUAAAAAUUUGUUUGUUCAAAUAGUAACGGCUACCAUCCCUAGAGAAGAGGGAGCGAGGAUGGGGGGAGAGCAUUGGGCUUCAACAUUUACUUGACCCUAUCAUGACAUCCAAUAUUUUAAAGAAAAGAGAACAACGUUAUAUUGAAUUUCAUGCUAUGUGAUAAGCUAGUUAAUUACGUACCUUUAGAAGACAAAAUAAACCACUACUUUCGUGAAGCUCAAUAUAAUUGGCAAAGUUGCAAGAAUUCAUUGUUGCAGUUAAGAUAGAGGAAAAGGUCUGACCUGUGUUUGAGGACUUGAUUCAUGAGUCACCUUGGUCGGUGCUGCCGUAAAAGUUGCAUCAACAAAUCAUCAUUUAUAGUCAAUCGGUAUUCACAGCAAACGUUUCCAUAAGGAUUAAUGUUGGCCUCAAAGAGGUUAUCAAUCAAAUUUUGUCCAAAUAGAUUCACAAAGUAAAAUUAUAAUGGAGAACAAGCUUAGAGUAGCUCCAGUUAUAAAUUAAUGGCUAGGGUUAUGAAUGGGAGACGAGUGGAAAAGAAAGGAAGAAGAAGAAGAAGAAGAGAUGGGAAAAAAAAGGAAACAAAAAGAGAAAAUAGAAUAGGGAAGUUAAAUUAAAUUAAAUUUUAAAGAAUUAAAUGGUCAAAAGGAAAAGAAAUAUAGGGAUUAGUUGUACAAUUUGCCCUAUGAUCUUCAUCUGAAAUAAAUGAUUUAACAUGCUAUGUUCGUCUGCAAAGGUGAAUCUAGGGGAGCUGGCAGCGGCCCCGCCCUCUAAAGACCCUUUAAAAUUUUUUAAAUUUUAAAUUAGUAAAUGUAAAAUUAUACUUUAGCCCACCCUAAAAAUGAUAAAAUUUUGAUUUAAUCUUUUAAAAAUUAUAUUUUUACUAUCGUAAAAAUUACAAUUUAAUUUCAGCCCCCACAAUAAUUUUCUGGCUUCGCCCCUGUCCGCUUGCUAUUAUUCUAUUAACAAUUCAUUGAGAAAAAUGUAACAAAUCGAUAGCGUUAAUGAUCAUAUUAUAACUUUUUAAUAGCUAGUGAUCAAAUUAUAAUUUAAACCAUAUAUAAUUGAGUAAAUAUAAAAGAUGUAUUGUGAGUAAAUAUAAUAAAAAAAAUAUUAUUCAAUUUUUAUAAAACUUUUAUUUUUAUGGCAAUAUAAUUGGACAUCUCAAUUUGAAUUUUCAUUUCUCAAAAAUUUAUGUACCAUUUGUUAUCUAAACUUAAUUUUUUUUCUUUCUUAAUUCGCUACUGUUUUGUUCAAUUUAAAACAUCUUCAACUCGUAAAAAUGGUUUAAUGGUAGCCCUAUAAAUAAAUCUCUCGAAAUUUCACAGAUAGUCAUCUCUCCCCUUUUUUUGUAAGUAUGUUGAACAUUUUCAACACGUAAAAAUUGUCUAAUAGUAGCUGCAUCCAUUAUUGCACCCUCCUAAGGACAAUAUAUUUGAGAUUUGGCCCACCUACUUAUUAGGGAUGGUAAUUUGUGUUUAAAUUUUAUAUUUGAUGUUUUAAUAUUUAUUGUCCUUUUUUUAUAAUAUUUUUUUUUCAAAUUUUGAAUCCGUGUUUUUAUUGAUAAUUUGUGCCUAAGUUUAAUAAAUUUGAAUUCAAUUUUAAAUUAUUAUGUUUUAAUCGGAUCAAUAUAAUAAUUAUAUUUUAAAAUUUUAUGAAUGUGAUGUAUGCAAUUUAUUAUAUUAUAAAUAUUUUAAAAUAAAUUCCAUCUUUCGUUUAUUUACUAUAUAAUAUUCGUAAGAUAUUUAAGAUUUUCAAGUUUGCCUAAUUAGUUCAUUUAAUAAUCUGACGCGUACAUCGCACAUGCACUUUACCUAUGUACAGACUCUGUAAAGUUAAAUAAAAUAUAAUUCAUUAAACAAAAACAUAAAAGAAGUUAAAGUCGGUUCAGAAAAGUAAAAGGGUUUGGAUAAAAUUAUUUGUAUUAAUAAUGGAUUUGGAUAAAAAAUAAGAAUAAUUUUCUAAAUAGACACCUCGAGUCAGACAAUUUGGUUCAUGCCUAGCCAUGAAUUAAUUGUAUACUGUUGUUUUGCUAUCAUUUUGCUAUUAUAAUAUUAUUAUUUUUAUUGUUAUUGUUUGGAUAUUAUAUAACUCUUAAUUUAUUGUUAAUUUUACUACUAUUUUAGAACAUUUGCUUACUAAGUUGAGACAUAAAGCUUUUUUUAAAAUAUAUUUUUAAUUGUUGGGAAACAUUUAUUUUAAUAGGUUUAGUAUAUUUGAUGUAUUAUAUUUUCUAAAUUUAUUUUUAUAUAAAAACAAUCGAAAAAUAAUAAUACAGGCAAACUAGGUCGAGUUGGAACUAGAUGUGCUCAUGGGCCGGGCGGCUCGGCCCGGACCGAUGACCCACCCGAAAUAUGGGAGAGUUCGGGUAAAAAUAUAGGCCCAAAAUAUGGGUUUGGACCAAAAAAUGAGGCCCCUUUAGAAAACAGGCCUGGCUUCGGGCACCACUUUUUUGGCCUAGACCCGGCCCGGCCCGAAUAUAAUAAAUAUUUUUAUUUUUUAUUAUUUUAAUUUUAAAAAUAUUUUAAAAAUAUUUUUUUAUUUUUAAAAUAAAUUUUUGGUGUUUAUUAAAAAAAUGGGCCAGGUAGGGCUAGGCUCGAGCUUAGGAAUUUUUUUCCGGUCUGGGCCUGGACAAAAUUUCAGGCCCAUAUUUCGGCUCGGGCCAAAAUUUUUUCCUGGGCCCAAUCCAACCCAUGAGCACCUCUAGUUGGAACCUAAAAUACGAAUUUAAAAUUUUAUAUCGUUCCAACUCAAUUAAUAUGAUUUAACUCGACUCAUGUUCAAAUCUAAUAUAAAUGUGUAUCUACUUAAUUUCCUGAAAAUGUUUCCAAGAUUUGGGUUGUAAAUAUGUAGUAUGCAGUAUGCACUAAUGCUGAUUCCUUUCUAUUUUAUAAAUAUGAACAAAAUUAAAGAUAACUAUAUAUUUAAUUUACUCUCGGCCUAUAAAAUCACUCAAUAUUACCUACUAAAAACGUAAUUACUGAAAGGACUAAUUAUAAUUAUUUAAUUCAAAAUUCUUGUAGGAGAUCAAAAUUAUUGAAUAAUAGAUUUUUAUAAAAUUAAAAUAUAAUUAUAUUAAUUAAUAUUUUUAAGGGCAUUAAUUAUUAAUUUUUUAUUUUAGAGAAUUAAUAUAUUAAUUUAUAAUUUUAAGAAUUGAAAAGUGGUUUAGAUUCACUUAUAAUGUUAAUUAAUGAGUGUAAUUAUCCUCCUAUCCGUAUAUAAAUUAUACACAGAUCAAGAAUUAGCUUUCCAUGAGAAUUUUCACUUUUAUCAACCCAUUUAAAUACAUUUACAUAAUUCUGAAAAUAGAAACAAAGAUGAUAAUUUAAGCUACAAGAUGCCCUUUUUCUCAAAGGAAUUACAAUAUGUAAAGCUGCUUAAACCACACCAUGUGUCCAGUCAUAAGCUUAGGCUAGUCAUAAAUGCAGUCAGCAUAACCUGCACAAACACAAAAUUUAGCACAUCCAACAUAUAUAUUAAGAAUAAAUCACACCAAUUAAUCAAAGAAACAUAAACAAAAUGCACUUACUUGGAUUACUGAUGACAACAAGACCUGAGCCUCUGAAAUCACAGUUCCACUUGUUUCUUCCCUUGGCUUGGUAGUAAAGAUUCAUAGCAAUGGAAGCAUGGUUCAUCAGAUUAUCAGGGCUGAAACAAGGACAACCCUUUUGCAUUACACGGCAAUCCACUUGAGAACAUGCGAAAUUAAUGUUUGCCAGUAGAGUUGCCUGGUCCGAUGAUGGCUUAGCCACACACCAACUUUUCUGCAAAAAUUUUCCCAUUUUCAAAAGCUUUAACACAAUUAUUUUCACUAUUAAUUAGUUUCUGAGUUCACAAUGAAUUACCCGUCCAUUUACCAUCAUCAAAGUUCCACCUAAUUAAAAAUAAAAUAAGAAAAGCCAAGUAAAAACCCGAGGUAGAACUGAACUAGAUUCAUGAAAAGCAUGCAAAGAAAGAAAAAGAUCCACAAAAGAAAGUACAGAAAAAGAAAACACAAGUGUUUUUUUGACUUGGUGCUUUGUAAUGAAAGUGUGAAACCUAGGAUUACUAACUAAAACUACCUGGAAUGAAGGAAAAGAUGAGGAAAGAGAGAGAGAGGGCUGCUGCUACUUUAGCCAUUGAGAACUGCUGUUGUACUUGAGAAUAUGAAAUGACGACUGUGAACUGCAAAUCAAAAUGAUGGUUUUUCUUUAUUGACAGAAAAAAGAAAAAGGCAGAGGGGGGUUUUAAUGGGUAACAGAUAAAAGAGAAGGAAAAGUCAGUUUAACGGCUAGUUAGUGGGCUACAAUACAUUGCAUUGAAUGAAGAGCCGUUGGGGAAUCAUUUAAGGAUCUCUUUUUGAAGAAAAUGGAUAAAGGGAAAAAGACUUGCAUUUUGAGGGCCUACUUUUUUGGCUACCUUUCCUCAUUCUUAAAUUUAUUUGAGUUUCAAUCCCUAUUCUUUAUCAAAUUUACAAAAUUAGUCUCUUUAUUUUAAUUUUUUCAUAUUUUAGUUCAACUGUUGGUAAACACUUUAAUAUUUUUUUUGUUAAUUUGUACUACAAAUUUUGUAAUACCGCUUACCCAUAUUCGACGCCGGAAUAGGGUGCGAGGCAUUACCAAAACACAUACACUUGUAAACAUAUUGAACCAAGUUAUAAAAUUCCAUUAAUUAUUAAAACUUUCAAAUUAUUAACAUGCUUUAUAAUUCUUCACAAUAUAAAUAAUGCAACAUUUCCUACCAACCACAAUUAAGCUUCCGAUAAUCAUUUCACUGCAUCUAAUAAUUGUACAUAUUACUAAUAAUAAUAAUUCAAUUUCAAUAAUAAAACACAUAUCUAUAUAAUACUCAUCAUUAAAUAGAAUUCACUUUAAUUAAAAUUAUACAGAAUAUAGUUCAUUCGAACUUACCAGGCUAAAUUGUAAAAAUACCAAAAUUUAGGGACAUUUUGGUAAUUUUCUAUUUUCUCGAAUUUCCACCCAAUCUUGAUCUAAAUUAAUAUUUCAUUCAAUUUAAUAAUUUAAAUAAUAAAACAAUUCAUGAACAAUUUGAUCACUUUUUGACAUUUUUACAAAUUUACCCUUAAAGUUUCACAUUUGUUCAAUUUAGUCUCUGAGCCCAAAUCAUGCAAACUAACCAUUUAAAAUGCAAAUCCAUGCUAACAUAAUAUUCAUACAUUUAUUAUUUUCCUCCUCCUCCUCUUCUCCAUUCCACAUCCUUAAUUUACAUAACAUGCUUAUAAGUAACAUUAUCUAUAAUUUCACUAUUUUCUUGUAAAUUUAUUUUAAAGCUGUCCAUUUGAGUCAUAGUCACUAAAUCAUUUAUAUCUUGAGCUACAGAAAUCCAAAUUAAGAUCCGUUAAUUUUCCCUGAAACUAGACUCACAUAUCUUAUUGCCAUAAAAUUUUCAGAAUUUUUAGUUCAGCCAAAUAGUACAGUUUAUUCUUUAAAGUUUCCCCUAUUUUUCUGUUUGACAGUUCCGACCACUCUUCACAAAAAAUGAAUUAUCUAAUUGUACAGAAUCCGGAUAAUGUUUGCAUUUAUUUCAUUUGAAAAUAGAUCCAUUAAGGAUUUUAAUAAUAUAAAUUAUAACUCAUAAUUAUUUUUCUUGAAUUUUUGAUGAUUUUCCAAAAUCAGAACAAGGGAACCCGAAAUCAUUCUGAUAUUGUCUCACAAAAUUUAUUAUAUCUCAUGAUUUAUAGUUCUAUUUCUUACACCGUUUCUUCUAUGAGAAACUAGACUCAGCAAGAUUUAAUUUCAUAUUUUAUUCAUCUUCUAGUUCAAUUCCCACAAUUUUUGGUGGUUUUUCAAAGUUAACCUACUGCUGCUGUCCAAACUGUUUUAGUGCAAAAUAUUGAUUACUAAGUUUAUAACACUCUUAUCUUCUUUCUCUACACUAUUUCUCAUCACUUUCUCUUAUUUUCUCUUCACUAACAUACCAAGAACAUAAAACCUUAUAUAAUAAAACUCUACAUUAACAUCAAUUUCAUACCUUUUCAAUAAUAUCAAACUCAAAAAUAUAUUGAAAUCUUGAUGUUCUUACCUUGCUCAAUUGAUUUCAAUCUUUAACUUGAUUUUCUCUCUCCUCCAGCUUCUAUUUCUUGAAUCUAACUUGAUAUUCUAGCUCCCCAUAGUCUCCUUGUUAUCUUUCUCCCUUGAUGGCUAUAGAAAUUCUUUUGAUUUCUAGGUGGAAAUGGUAGAUUUUUGGUGGAAGGACCAAAUUGUAAAGAAAAUAAAGUUUCUUUCCUUUUCUUCUCUUCAUACGUUGGAAUGCAUGGGAGAGAUGAUGUUUCUUCAUCUUUCCUUCCAUAUAUAUACUAAAUAGAAUAAUAAUAAAAUAAUAAAAUAUCAUUUAAAAAUUAAAUUAAAAUACUAAUAAACUAAUAUUUAUUUAAUUAAUUAAUAUAAAAUAUCUCCAACAUCAUCAUUAUCUUCUAGACUUCUCUCUCUUCUAAUUGACCAUUUUGCCCUUUAUGAUCUUUUAAAAUUCCAUCUUUGAGUCAUCACUUAAUUUGGUAAAAUUGCAAUUUAGUCCCUCAAAAUUCUUCACCUUUUUCAAUUUGGUCCUAACCCAUCCAUUUUCCUUAGUUUCUAGAUCAUUCCACCCUUAAAAUAUUUACACCAUUGGUCCUUCAACUUUUUCAUAUUUAUACUUUAGCCCUUAAUUUUUGAGUAUUUACUCUUAAGCAACAAAACUUUUCUCACUUUUACGAUUUAAUCCUUUUUUAUUCAUUUCUAUCAUAACGCAACCCAUGUCAUAAUUUUAAAAUAAUUUUUUUUUCUUCGAGUUUGUGGUCCCGAAACCACUGUUCCGACUAGACCCAAAAUCGGGCUGUUACAAAUUUUGUAGCAUAUAGAUUGUUUUACUGCUGAAUUUUGUUAAGUUUUGCAUAUAUAUUAUUGAAUGGUUAAUUUUCAAGUUAGUGAUUUAACAAAAAGAUUUUAUAGCAAGUUUAGACUAAUUUCUUAAUUUUCAUAAAAUAAAAUAAUUAAACUAUGAUAAAAUAAAAUAGAAUGAUUAAUUUCUUUAUUUUCCUAAAGUAAGGAGAUAGUAUUCAGGGCGAAUCAGAAAAUUUUUUAGGAGGCCGAAAUUAAAUUAUAAUUUUUAUGAUAAUAAAAACGUAAUUUCACCAUUUUAAUAGUCUAUAUAUUUAUAAUUUUUAAAGGAUUAAAUUAAAAUUUUAUCAUUUUUAGGGGGUCAAAGUAUAAUUUUACUUUUACUAAUUUAAAAUUUUAAAAAAUUAAAAAAACCAAAAUAAAAAUUUUUCAUUUUAAUAGAACCGGACACCUCCACCCCUAACUAUAUAUGUCCUUGAUAUUGUCCAAAAUUAGACCAUUAAUUUUCAAAUUUUUAAAAAAUCAAAACAAAAUUCAAUUUUAUUUAUUUAUUUACUUUUAUUGGUACAUGAUAUGAAUAUAUUUAAAAAAUAUAUAUUUACUUAUUUUUAAAUAAAUACAGUUGUAAAAAAUAAAUAAAUAGAAGAUAAGUUUUAUUAAAAAAAUUAUGUAACAUCUUAUAUAUAAAAAGAACAUGUUUUGGACUUUCCUUCUGCUGCCACGAGGCAACCCAUUGCUUUUAUUAUUAUUUACAAAAAUAGUU
rnacentral:lncRNA from 1 species